rnacentral:rRNA from 1 species
UACAGAGGGUGCAAGCGUUAAUCGGAAUACUGGGCGUAAAGCGUGCGCAGGCGGUUAUGUAAGACAGGUGUGAAAUCCCCGGGCUUAACCUGGGAACUGCAUUUGUGACUGCAUAGCUAGAGUACGGUAGAGGGGGAUGGAAUUCCGCGUGUAGCAGUGAAAUGCGUAGAUAUGCGGAGGAACACCGAUGGCGAAGGCAAUCCCCUGGACCUGUACUGACGCUCAUGCACGAAAGCGUGGGGAGCAAACAGG